rnacentral:rRNA from 1 species
UACGUAGGGGCCAAGCGUUGUCCGGAUUUAUUGGGCGUAAAGAGCUCGUAGGCGGUUGGGUAAGUCGGGUGUGAAAACUCCAGGCUCAACUUGGAGAUGCCACCCGAUACUGCUCUGACUUGAGUUCGGUAGGGGAGUGGGGAAUUCCUGGUGUAGCGGUGAAAUGCGCAGAUAUCAGGAGGAACACCGGUGGCGAAGGCGCCACUCUGGGCCGAAACUGACGCUGAGGCGCGAAAGCGUGGGGAGCAAACAGG